AUGGUUCAAAAUAGUCUCUCUUUCCUGAGGGCUAAAGUACACUGGUACAUGGGACAGAAUUCAGAACUCUGCGGAAGAGCUGCUGUCCUGAGAGCUGAUGUCACAUCGCUGUGGCAUAGAACAUGGGGCUGGGCAGUGGCUGUGCUUCAAAAGCAAGUUCUUCAACCUUGGAUCUUAAUUCCUUCUGACAAGGGUGCCUAUGACAUGCUUGACCUCAAGAUCCUGAUUGCCAUUGGUGGCAGCUUAUUGAUUGUCACGAUUGUGCUGAUGGCUGUUGUCCUCUGUCUUUACUACAAACUAUUCCGCACAUUAAAGGCUUCCAAGGCGUCUGUUCCCCAGACCACCAGCAGUAAUAAUCAAAUCACAAAGACCCAGGCCACAGUCUCCACUGAGUCCUAUCCCAGCCUCAAGUGCUAUGACCAGUGUAAAGCGUGUAUCAACUACAAUCCCCCGCCACCGUGCUACUAUGAUAUAAACGAGGGACUCUGA
rnacentral:lncRNA from 1 species